rnacentral:rRNA from 1 species
AUUGAACGCUGGCGGCAGGCUUAACACAUGCAAGUCGAGCGGAGAUGAGGUGCUUGCACCUUAUCCUAGCGGCGGACGGGUGAGUAAUGCUUAGGAAUCUGCCUAUUAGUGGGGGACAACAUUCCGAAAGGAAUGCUAAUACCGCAUACGCCCUACGGGGGAAAGCAGGGGAUCUUCGGACCUUGCGCUAAUAGAUGAGCCUAAGUCAGAUUAGCUAGUUGGUGGGGUAAAGGCCUACCAAGGCGACGAUCUGUAGCGGGUCUGAGAGGAUGAUCCGCCACACUGGGACUGAGACACGGCCCAGACUCCUACGGGAGGCAGCAGUGGGGAAUAUUGGACAAUGGGCGGAAGCCUGAUCCAGCCAUGCCGCGUGUGUGAAGAAGGCCUUUUGGUUGUAAAGCACUUUAAGCGAGGAGGAGGCUACCUGGAUUAAUACUCUAGGAUAGUGGACGUUACUCGCAGAAUAAGCACCGGCUAACUCUGUGCCAGCCGCCGCAGUAAGAC